UCGUUGUCGCAUUGAAGGUACAGAGGCUGUCCGAGCAGUUUACAGUUGGAGUGGUUAUCAUCAACGUAGCUUCGUUGCAAUCUUUCGCAAUUGAAAAAUCAUUUAAAUUCGGCAUUCAAAAUUAUUCCAUGGUGAAUCAACAAAUCAUACCGCAUUUUUGUUCUCUUCUCCAUCAACAGUCGAAUCAAUUAAAAUUAUAUUGUGUAUUUCGCGAAUUGUCAAUCGGUGUAUAGACAAUACUUUUUUCUGUGAAUAGUCGGUUGCGUUUUUUCCAAUAUGAGUAUAAAAAUUAUACAACAACUGCUAUGUCUUUUGAAACGUGUGGCACCGUUCAUACGAACCGUAAACGAAUAUCGCUAUUGGCACAAGUGUUGUAUCGAAUGAUUGAAUCAAUGUCGUGCAUGUAUGAUUAUUAUGAAAAGAGACAUGCACCCGGGUACGAAAGCUCAUUUAAUGUCACUCAUGUGUCGUAUGAAAAGUUUAAAUGUACAUUUGAAUAAACGCGUCUCGCAUACCGGCGGUAGUCUAUAUGAUAAAAAUCAAGGUGCCAGAGCAUCGUCGCUCGUUUGGGAAGAUCUUGAAUUGGCAUUUGGAAAACGCGCCAUGAUCGGUGUUGUUAUAAACGUUGAACAUAUACAACCGCGACAAUUUUUACACGACGCAAAACAACUUGUGAGCAGACAUAUCAGUGAACUUUUAAAUAAAUAUUCGUUAUUAAAAGUGAACGUUGUGUUUGAAGGUGAUUUCGUGUUACGCGAUCAAGCGUCGAUAAAAUGAUUUCAUACGCAAAAUACUGCACUUUUCAAAUCAACGAAUCUGCGAAACUGGUACACGGACGAUGUCAUGAAGCCAAUAUUAACAUCACUGGAGGAAUUUCAAGAACGGGACAGUGGAUGGGCAUUGAAGAAGAUAUCAAGUUUGUUGAUUAAUUGUUAGAAGUACGAAUCGAUUCGAGCUGGUUGUUGAUAAGACUGUUGUUAAUAUCAAUUCUAAAGAGAACGAUUGCUUCUAUCGAGCGAUCGUGGCAUGUCUAUACCCAGCGAAAUCGCAUUCGACGCGAAUAUCAUCGUAUCGCCACUACAAGGACGUUCUCCAUCGAACUAAACGUAAUAAGCUUGAGCUGAUUCACAUAACAGCGAAUAAGCAUCGAAAACAUGCCAACUUGCUGUUCGUUCAAAAUAGACAGAAUCCAUCGAGGAAUCAUUCCGCAGCCAUAACAAAUUUAUCGAGAUUGAUUUCAUCACAGUUGCCUAAUAAAAACCGCCGAAAGUAUAUUUGCGAUCGAUGUCUACAAUACUUUUUUACCGAGGAGAAGUUAAACAUGAUUGCUCUCGAAUGAAUCAGUGUGCUAUAACACUUCCGACAAACGGGAGCAAGUGGUUGCGGUUUAAGAAUUACACACACAAGGAGUGGGUGCCGUUCGUUAUUUAUGCUGACUUGGAAAGUCUGCUAGAGGAAAACGAAGGCCGUUCUCAUGGAGCAAGGUUAUAUCAGAGUCAUCGGCCGUUUACCGUAGAUUAUUAUGUACACUGCAGAUACGACGCUUCGUUAUGCGGUUAUCACUGUUAUCGGGGUGAUACGGGAUCUAUAGAAUGGUUUGUGAUUGAGUUAUACUCAUUAUGCGAUAGCCUAGAGCUGAUAUUUAGUACCGUGAUACCAAUGAAUCCAUUAACCGAUGAACAGGUAUUAGAGUUUCGAUCAGCUACGCAUUAUCACAUAUGCGAAAAAACAUUUGACUCGAAUAACGUGAAGAAUCGCGAUCGAUCGCGCGAUCGUUGUCAUUUAACGGGUAGGUAUUGCGGUCCUGCGCAUGCGAAAUGUAAUAUUCACUAUAGAGAAUCGUACGUGGUACCAGUGGUUUUUCACAAUUUGUCCGAAUACGAUGCACAUUUUAUCAUUCGUGAUUUGGUCAACUCGUUCGAAGGGAAAGUAGAUUUAUUGCCAUUAACGAAAUAAACAUAUAUUUCCUUUACCAAACAUACGGAGAGUUCUGGCAAGUACAAGCGAUGCGUGAAGUUUAAAUUUAUAGAUUCCUUCAAAUUUCUAAAUUCGAAUAUAGAUAAAUUAGCAUCCUAUUUGGACAAGGACAAUUUGCAUAUCGUUAAAAAUGAAUUUGUACAUUUUUCGGACAACAAUUUAGAACUUAUUACUUGGAAAGGUGUUUUCCCAUACGACUACGUAUCAUAUGAUAAAUUAGAUAAUACAUGUUUACCAUCACGUGAAGCCUUUGUAGCGAGGCAGUUUUAUUUUCCAUAUAACUACGUACAUUUUCUCACGUGCCGCCAAGGCCUAUGCGAGUCUGGCGACGGUCAAUUCAUGCGUCUGGCAGCCAGAUUCGCACGAGUCAGGAUUUUUCCUGCCAGCCACGCGAGCACUUUCCUUGUCUAAGGACAGGAGGAUAUACUCUGAAAGACCGGCGGGACGGGACACAGUCUAACUCAACAUCGGCAAGACGUUACGCUGCCCGAACGCGAGUCACGCCCUAGUUGCACUGCGUAUUGCACUAACUUCCGUACGCACGGAAUUAGGGUAGUUCCUUCCUUGACGCGAUCAAAACGAGGUGUUAUAGGGAACCCGCGAGUCCACUUUCAUUCGAAUAUCGCUCUUCACCGAUAACCGCUCAACGCAAAAAGGUAUUCUGUUCGAUACGUUAUCUGUUGUUUUCUUUGCAAUUGUUUAGCCAUAGUCUAAACGUUUGGACCUCGCUGGCGGUGCAAUGAUAAGGUUAUUGUCGUCGGAAUUCCGCCGACGGCUUCCAACAGUGGUGUAUCACCAUGUCCAAUGACAUGGUUUAUUAGCAAUUCUGUAUAUAGGAUUCUGAACUAAUAUCUCGUAUUUAGGAGAUCCGUAUUCUUCUAAAUUAACGCUCGAAAUAUUCAUCUUUCGGAGGAUGUCUCUUUCAGCACAUCUUACUUUACACGCGGUUACAGGAUGAGCAUAAUCGCGAGCAAAAUUUUGUAUCACACCAAAUAUAUCAUCCUGUCGAUAUUUUUCAUAGCCAAAAUCAGCAAUUGGGAUUCCAUGUACGAAAUUACUAACAUACCAUGCCGACUUUCUAUCGGCAUUCGAUAAUGAAUUGUAAUGCCUGUCUAAACGAAAUUCCGCCAACUCGAACUCCCCAUUGCAAACGUUAAUUAUGCCUAAUUCUUUGCAAAUAAAUUUUUUCUCAGUCACGAAACCGUUCAUAUCUAUAAUGUGAUCGGUAUGUGCCAUCUGAAUAAAGAAAUACAAAUUCUUUGUAUAAAAAAUUUCUCCCCGUCAAAAUAAAUCAAUUAUAUAUAUAUAUAAUUUUAUACAUUUAUAAAACAAAUAAAUAUUAGUACCUCUUACCUUUAAAUAUCGGAGUUAUUUUAGAGGAAAACACACACACACACACACACACAACUGCAAAACUUUUGCUGUUCUGUUUUAGAAGUAACUGUACGCUGCUCGGACAACCUUUGUACCCUUUAUAUGGUAAAAUGAUCGAAACCAGAACGCAUUAUUGAAAUUAGAACGCAUUAUCGAAAAUGCAAGUAAUUAAACCGCGUUUUUCGUAGCUACAUUGUUCUCCGAGAAAAAACCGCAUUGUUUUCGCUGCAACAGGAAUCGCGCAAACCGCAUCACGUUGCAUCGUAAAAAAUAUCGUGAAUCCAGCGUCUGACCUAAAACGCGUCGUAACAGCCCUCGUCGAAAUAUCUUGACACCGCCGAAAUUCGCCGAAAAAUACGCGUAUCUCCCAACCGCAACGGAAGCAUAACAGGAAUACACGAACCAGACCCAAUUGCGUAACAAACUAAUAAUUAUUUUAUUAUUUCAUUCGCAAUUGUCGUAACCAUUUUAUUCGCAAAAUUAUUCGUACCUAGCAGCGAGCACCCAUAUUUCGCGCCGGCAGCGAUUUUAAAAUUAUUUUAAAUUAUUAACUUUUCUUUCUUACCUCUGCAACACCUGGUACAUCACCGCACUCCCCCUGCCCCGAACACCUCGCACAAACCUGAAUUUUGUCGACGAAAAGCUAAUCUCCCUAGCCCCUACUACUGAGUGCAAUAUAAAUCACAUAAGGUAUCAAUGAACAUACUCGUUUAUCUUUUGAAAAACCUUACGAAACAAUCAAUAUUAAGAAUUUACCUACCAUAAGCUUAGUAAUAAAUCUCAUCUGUGCUAUAAUUAUUAGAAAUUGAUUAAUGAUUUUCCUUCGAAUCGUAAGACUAAAGAAUUGUCGAUAUAUUUAAAGAAUAGUUGUUUGUUCAUGCUUUGAAUUGCUAUUGUUAAUGAAAGAUCUAUUAAUAUAUCCUUUGCUGUUAAUUAUUGAAUGUAAAAGGUUACUGACUAAUCGCCGGUUAAUAUGUUAAUUACACUGUGGAAUAAGUUUUAACCUAUUUUGCUUUUUACAGUAACCACUAGGUAAUUCUUAUAGAGUUCCUUACGCUGAAUACGAAUCC